UUAACACCCAGUCAUUGUGGAAUGCCGUCUACUUAAGACCGAUAUGGAGCUGGAGGUCCUGCGCUACACCAACAGAAUUUCCAGUGAUGCCCACAAAAUGGUCAUGAAGCAUGUGUAGC